AAGUGAAAUGAUGCUUACCAUCUUUCGGGACUGACCUGGAAUGGAGAGAACUUUAAUUACUGAUCACUU